GCCUUUGUGGUGUAGUGGUCAGCACGCUCGGCGCUUAUUCGAUAGGUCCGUGGUUUCGAAUCCCGGUGAGGGCA
rnacentral:tRNA from 1 species